rnacentral:rRNA from 1 species
GUGUGAAGCCCACCUCAAGAUGAGAUUUCCCAUUUCUUUAAGAAAGUAAGACCCCUGAGAGAUGAUCAGGUAGAUAGGUUGGAAGUGGAAGGCUAGUGAUAGUUGGAGCGGACCAAUACUAAUCGGUCGAGGACUUAACCAA